CAGCUCACUCUUUGGUGGGGGCGUCCAUUCCUCCUGAGACACCAUGAGUGCAACAUGCUGCACCCUGAGCAGCAGCAGCAGAGGCAGCGGGUAGACAAUUGACAAUCUUGUAUUGUGGUUUUUACCCUGUACAGCUCAUCCUGCACGAGGCGGAAUUUGGUAAUGUAUUUAGAACUCUCCUAGUGACCCUGUCCACGAGGAAACUCCCUGGGCAGCGAUGCUGCAGCUUCACAGGGGAAGGUCUGCCUUUCUGGGUGCUGCUCAGAGUCCAGACAAUAGCCCUUAGGCCACUUCAGUACCCAGUUUCUGAGACCCAGAUGUGAGGCAGUUGGACAGCACCUGACCAGGUAAGAAAGACACCCCCCCCCAGAGGCAGAGGCUGGCAGGCUCCCUGCUGAAACUCCGAAAGGCUUUAUUUAAGUUAAUGCUGUGAGCAGGUGGAAUGGGGCCUGCCUAGGUGCUGCCAGGAGAGGGGCCUGCCUGGGUUGCCAUGUGCCCACCAGAAGCUGCCUGGGUAGAUGUGUGCCACUGGGGACUGUCUGGAUGGCCAUGUGCAUGCCAGGAGCUGGGGCUGCCUCGUGGUCAUGUGCCCGUUGGGUGUUGGGACUCAGGGGGCUCUUGGCUGCACUUAUCGUACUUAUCGCACUUAUCCUGCACCACCUUCUUCGGUCUGGUUUAGACUGUGGGAAGGGGAGGAUGGGCCCAGGGAGCAGGCAGUGAGGGAGGAAGUGUCAAAAGCAGAAGUGCAGAGUUCUGUCAGUGACUGUUGGAGACGGGCCCUAGAACCAGGGCGGAGCUGGCAGCUGGGGCUAGCUAGUGGGGGCCACUUACCCAUGUCCCUGCCUAAGGCUCUUAAUGCAGGUGCGUCCGUGAGUGAGGCUCAGCGAGGGCGUUUUCCCAGCAGCAGGGACCUGGUAACAAGCUCAUUGGAGGCAGGAUAUUUCCCCCGAAUUGAUAAGGCAGAGUCUGUAGUGAAGUUAGUUCUGUCCCACGUCGUUAGGAACCCGGAUUGGGGAGGGAGGAGGGAGGCUGGCUGGCUGUGUGUCCCACGUCGUUAGGAACCCGGANGGGGGGGAGGAGGGAGAUUGGCUGGCUGUGUGUCCCAGGUCGUUAGGAACCCGGAUUGGGGGGGAGGAGGGAGGCUGGCUGGCUGUGUGUCCUAGGUCGUUAGGAACCCGGAGCUGUCUGUUCCCCCACUGCUUGCUUCCAAAGCUCCGGCUCCAAGAGGACGCUGUGUCUGCUUUGCUGGCUUCAGGCUCUGGGUUUGGUGCGCUAGGGCCUAGCUCCAAACACUCAGUUUGCUAAUAAGGGGAAUUUCCCGGUGUCGCCCCCUAGCGUAAGGGCUGCCUGGGGAAAAGGCCAUCAAUGAAUCAGCAGAGCCUCAGCCACACCAGCUUUUUGGGGGCCAUUUCCUCACGCGCAGGCAGAGCCCUGAUGGGAGCUGAGUGCGGGGCGAGCUCCAGGGCUCUUGGAAAGCCCCUCAUUCCUCCCCUCCAUGGAGCGGGCAGCUGCUCUGACGACCAGGUGGGUAAAAGGCUACCUGGGGCACCAACCCACGUUCCCACAACCUGCUGAGCUGACCUGGAGUUCGCAUCAGUGGGAAAAGGUUUUGAAAAUAGCCUUUUGCAGUCACAGCACAUGAGGGGCUGGGAUGGGGCGCAGGGCAGAGUCUCCUCUGGCUGGGACUGGGAGAGUGAGGGGCCAGGAUGGGGGGUGAGUCAGUCUCCUGUGGCCAAGAAUAUCUUGAUUCCUAUGGGAGAAUAGUUAGCCCUGGGAAAGCAGCCUCAUAGACCUGUUGCUCCAUUAUAGAACCUAGCUGCCAACUGGAAGUGGCUGUAAAUCUGCCCCUGUGAUGGCCACAGGGUCUGUUUUCCUGUCUGAGUGGGGGAUGGGUCUUGGCUGCCACUCAGGGCCUUGCUAAGGACCUGCUGGAGGAAGAGAGCCUGUGAUGGGCUGAAGAGGAGCUGCACGGCGAUUGAGAGACAGUGCAGUCACCCAUAAAGUAGAAAGCACUACUAAACAGCACUGCAGGGUGUAGUGUUUCCUACUUUAUGGAUGAGUGUACUGUGGGCUACGGAGAAGAGAGCACUACAGUCACCAGGACACGCGACUACCUGCAUCCACCGCUGGAACGGAUUGCUGCAGCCACGGCCAUCAUGGAUUGGGAAGCCCUGUGAGCACUUGGGCUGCGCUCUGUGUGGUGCUGGGAGCUGCCACGGCCUGGAGCCUGUGUUAAUAGUGCCCCAGAGUCCAUGCUUAGCUCCUGAAUCUUCCACAGUCUCUUUUGCUUCCACUCCUUAAAUAUGGAGAGUUUGAUCAGCUACAACUACUGCCCCGGGCAGAGCUGGGAGUGCACUGGAAGUGAUAGGGGAAGGGUAUUCAGUUCCCUAUGGGGUGGGGGGGGGAGGUGAGGUGCACCCUGUACACACCAGGCUCCAGGAGUGAAGUGUUGCUGAUGGGUUAGAUCUAGGCAGACUUUAGAGAUGUGAGCAUAGGUGCUGCAGCUCCCAGGCAGGCUUUUGUGGGCCCAGAGCCACAUCCUCCUGCUUUGACAGCUGUUUUUCUUGCCCCUAUUACAGUGUGACAGACUGAGGCAAACGCCUGGCUGCAAUGGCAGGACACAGGCAACACACAAUGUACUGCCAAGCACAGAAAGCAGAGCGAUGUGUUUCCUCUGCUCUGAGCUGCAGCGUUCGUAUGACUGCUCAGGGAGUACGCUGCAGACUCCAGUGCAGGGUGGAAGCUGAUUGGGUCUCUUUAAGGGCUUGUUUGAUGUGUCUUUUGAAUUGUUUUGAAUUGUUUCAUUAUGCUGUACGGUGCUGGGAUAGGAGGGGGUUAAUCAAUAAAAUGAUUUAUUUUUUUGUAGA